GCUGUAGAUCAGUGGGUAGAUCAUCUGCUUUGCAUGCAGAAGGUCUCAGGUUCAACCCCAGACAUCUCCA